rnacentral:rRNA from 1 species
GAGUUUGAUCAUGGCUCAGGACAAACGCUGGCGGCGUGCAUAACACAUGCAAGUCGAACGAGAUCUAAAAGAUUUAGUGGCGAACGGGUGAGUAACACGUGAGAAACCUGCCUCAUACAGAGGGAUAGCCGUUGGAAACGACGAUUAAUACCUCAUGAGACUACAUUAUCGCAUGAUAAAGUGGUUAAAGAAAAUCGGUAUGAGAUGGUCUUGCGUCUGAUUAGCUAGUUGGUGGGAUAACGGCCUACCAAGGCGACGAUCAGUAGCCGAUCUGAGAGGGUGGACGGCCACACUGGGACUGAGACACGGCCCAGACUCCUACGGGAGGCAGCAGUGGGGAAUUUUGCACAAUGGACGAAAGUCUGAUGCAGCGACGCCGCGUGAACGAAGAAGGCCUUCGGGUUGUAAAGUUCUGUCCUAGGUGAAGAUAAUGACA